rnacentral:rRNA from 1 species
UAAGGAAUAUUGGUCAAUGGGCGAAAGCCUGAACCAGCCAUGCCGCGUGACGGAUCAAGGUCCUCUGGAUUGUAAACUUCUUUUAUCUGGGACGAAAAAAGGGAAUUCUUUCUCACUUGACGGUACCAGAUGAAUAAGCACCGGCUAACUCCGUGCCAGCAGCCGCGGUAAUACGGAGGGUGCAAGCGUUAUCCGGAUUCACUGGGUUUAAAGGGUGCGUAGGCGGGCAGGUAAGUCAGUGGUGAAAUCCCCGAGCUUAACUCGGGAACUGCCAUUGAUACUAUCUGUCUUGAAUAUUGAGGAGGUAAGCGGAGUAUGUCAUGUAGCGGUGAAAUGCUUAGAUAUGACAUAGAACACCUAUUGCGAAGGCAGCUUACUACGCAUAUAUUGACGCUGAGGCACGAAAGCGUGGGGAGCAAACAG